rnacentral:rRNA from 1 species
UACGGGGGGGGCAAGCGUUGUUCGGAAUUACUGGGCGUAAAGGGCUCGCAGGUGGCCAACUAAGUCAGACGUGAAAUCCCUCGGCUUAACCGGGGAACUGCGUCUGAUACUGGAUGGCUUGAGAUUGGGAGAGGGACGCGGAAUUCCAGGUGUAGCGGUGAAAUGCGUAGAUAUCUGGAGGAACACCGGUGGCGAAGGCGGCGUCCUGGACCAACACUGACACUGAUGAGCGAAAGCCAGGGGAGCAAACGGG